rnacentral:rRNA from 1 species
GUGAGGAAUAUUGGUCAAUGGGCGAGAGCCUGAACCAGCCAAGUCGCGUGAAGGAUGAAGGUUUUAUGAAUUGUAAACUUCUUUUGCAGGGGAAUAAAGUACGGUACGUGUACCGUUUUGUAUGUACUCUGCGAAUAAGGAUCGGCUAACUCCGUGCCAGCAGCCGCGGUAAUACGGAGGAUCCAAGCGUUAUCCGGAUUUAUUGGGUUGAAAGGGUGCGCAGGCGGGUUGAUAAGUCAGCGGUGAAAGUUUGCAGCUUAACUGUAAAAUGGCCGUUGAAACUGUCGAUCUUGAGUGCAAAUGAGGUAAGCGGAAUGUGUUGUGUAGCGGUGAAAUGCUUAGAUAUAACACAGAACACCGAUUGCGAAGGCAGCUUACUGGGAUGCAACUGACGCUCAUGCACGAAAGCGUGGGGAUCAAACAGGAUUAGAUACCCGAGUAGUCC